rnacentral:rRNA from 1 species
UAGGGUAGCCCCCAAAAUAUUGGGACAUCUAAAAAAAGACAACUCUGUUUCGCAGAGUAGCUGUUGAUAUUAUAGUUGCGCAGGCACUUUGUUGACACUAGAGAACCUUGGGCCAAUUGCACAUCCCCGUGGCGGCGACUUUGCAUGCGGAUGUCAUCCAUAUCAACUUUCGAUGCCAGUUUCUGCGCCUACCAUGGUAACCACGGGUAACGGGGAAUCAGGGUUCCAUUCCGUACAGGGACCCUGAGAUAUGCAGGGUCCCCAUGCAAGGAAGGCAGAAGGCACGCAAAUGACCCACUCACGAUGCGGGAAGGUAGUGA